GUACUGCUGUACUACUCUCUGCCCCACUAAAACCUAACCCUUACACACACAUCACACUCCAGCGCUGCACUCUUUAGGUUUCUCACACUCCUCAAGCUUCCACCAGAGGCUCACCAUUUGUUGUUGGCGGUGGAUUCCAUCACAGUCGCGCCCCCAUCCAGCCCACAAUCCCCUUGUGCAUUUUGUUCUGCGUCGCUCCUUUCCCAGCGCUGUCGUGGUCUCCAUCCAGCAUCUUCGUCAUCUCUUCGGUUUCGGUCCUUUCAUUUCCGUCAUCUCACCAUCCAGCAUCUCUCCGUCUCUCUUUGAUUUCUUCUGUCAUAAGCUCUUUCAGUAGCUGUUGCUGCUACCGGUUGCAUUGCUGGCGGUCCUGCUUGAUGUUCUUGUUGCUGUCGUGCAAGUUAUCUUUUUUCUAUUGCGUGUUUUAAGAGAUGGCCACAGGAGUGAACAAGAUGCUGUAAUUUUAGUACCAUGAGACAUAAUCAACAUUAAAUUAGGAGAUAUCAUUCCGGCCAAUGCUUGUCUUCUCGAGGACAAUUCUCUAAGUGUUGAUCAGUCUGCUCUAACAGGAGAAUCUCUUCUAGUGACUAAGAACUCCACUGAUGAAGUAUUUUCUGGAUCAAUAAUCAAGAAGGGUGAGAUAGAAGCAGUUGUGAUAGUCACUGGUGUGCACACCUUCUUUGGUAAAGCGGCUCACUUGGUGGACAGCGCUAACCAAGUUGGACACUUCUAGAAAGUGGUUACAACAAUUGGUAACUUUGCUCAAUUGCUCGAAACGUAUGACGACUAUUGAGAAAAUAGCUAGGAUGGAUGUCCUCUGCAGUAAUAAAAGUGUAACCUUGACAUUGAAUAAGCUCAAUAUUGAUAGAAACUUGAUUGAGGUAUUUGCUAAAGAUGUUGAGAAGGAGUAUGUUAUCCUUCUUGCUGCAAGGACCUCUAGGACUAAAAAUCAGGAUGCUAUAGAUGCUGCUAUAUAUGAUUAAGUCAAACAAAUAAAGCUUCUAAAAGCAAAAUUCCAAAAAAAAAUUUCCACUCAUUAACAAAUAUAUAGAAAUAGAAUAGUAAUAAGAAGAGGAAACAAUAAUGCAAUCGUUUUCAUAAAAAAAAAAAGAAUCAAGCAUAUAUCUCGCUCAAAGGCAUAUGAAUGGAACUUUACAAGUAGGGCAUAGAGAAUAUCGAA